rnacentral:rRNA from 1 species
AGCCGCACGAGAAAGUGGAGCAAUCCAUGAGUAAAGUGGCGCACGGGUGAGUAACACGUGAAUUAUCUACCUCCGAGUGGGGAAUAACUGAGAGAAAUCUUAGCUAAUACCGCAUAACACUUACGAGUCAAAGCAGCAAUGCGCUUGGAGAGGAGUUCGCGGCCGAUUAGUUAGUUGGCGGGGUAAUGGCCCACCAAGACGAUGAUCGGUAUCCGGCCUGAGAGGGCGCACGGACACACUGGAACUGAAACACGGUCCAGACUCCUACGGGAGGCAGCAGUGGGGAAUUUUGCGCAAUGGGGGAAACCCUGACGCAGCAACGCCGCGUGGAGGAUGAAAUAUCUUGGUAUGUAAACUCCUUUCGAUGGGGAAGAUUAUGACGGUACCCAUAGAAGAAGCCCCGGCUAACUUCGUGCCAGCAGCCGCGGUAAUACGAGGGGGGCAAGCGUUGUUCGGAUUUAUUGGGCGUAAAGGGUGCGUAGGCGGUUUGGCAAGUCUUGUGUGAAAUCUUCGGGCUCAACCCGAAGCCUGCACAAGAAACUGCCGGGCUUGAGUAUGGGAGAGGUGAGUGGAAUUUCCGGUGUAGCGGUGAAAUGCGUAGAUAUCGGAAGGAACACCUGUGGCGAAAGCGGCUCACUGGGACCAUAACUGACGCUGAUGCACGAAAGCUAGGGGAGCAAACAGGAUUAGAUACCCUGGUUAGUCCUAGCCCUAAACGAUGAAUUGCUUGAUGUGGCAGGUACCCAAUCCUGCCGUGUCGAAGCUAACGCGAUAAGCAUCCCCCCUGGGGAGUACGGUCGCAAGGCUGAAA